ensembl:lncRNA
GCCAGGGCAAGAGUGGGGCUGGGAGGGGCGCGCGGAGAAAGAGGCGCGCGGGCCCCCGACCCCGCUGCGCGAGUCUGUGGGUUGGGGAGCCGAAUGGACACGGAUGGGAGGAGAGUCGAUGAGCGUUUGGGAAGAGAAAGCGCAAGAGUCCUCACCUUGCACGGGGCCUGGGAGGGCGGUCCGAGGAUGGAGCGCUCGGGGAAGAGGCGCGCGAGCCAGGCACUCCGGGGCGAGACGCAGGGCACCCAGCAGGAACAGCGCGAGAGAGGAGGGGCGCACGCGGCCACACCAGUAGGUUUUUCUAUUGUAGAUUAUACUCUCUCGCCUGGACAACUGCAGUACCCUGACUCCCACCCAGCAGCUAGAGACCGCCCGUUAAAACCUCAAAUGUGA